AGCGAACGCUGGCGGCAGGCCUAACACAUGCAAGUCGAACGAACCUUUCGGGGUUAGUGGCGGACGGGUGAGUAACGCGUGGGAACGUGCCUUUAGGUUCGGAAUAACUCAGGGAAACUUGUGCUAAUACCGAAUGUGCCCUUCGGGGGAAAGAUUUAUCGCCUUUAGAGCGGCCCGCGUCUGAUUAGCUAGUUGGUUGAGGUAAUGGCUCACCAAGGCGACGAUCAGUAGCUGGUCUGAGAGGAUGAUCAGCCACAUUGGGACUGAGACACGGCCCAAACUCCUACGGGAGGCAGCAGUGGGGAAUCUUGCGCAAUGGGCGAAAGCCUGACGCAGCCAUGCCGCGUGAAUGAUGAAGGUCUUAGGAUUGUAAAAUUCUUUCACCGGGGACGAUAAUGACGGUACCCGGAGAAGAAGCCCCGGCUAACUUCGU
rnacentral:rRNA from 1 species